UGCAAGUCGAACGAUGAAGCCCAGCUUGCUGGGUGGAUUAGUGGCGAACGGGUGAGUAACACGUGGGUGAUCUGCCCUGCACUUCGGGAUAAGCCUGGGAAACUGGGUCUAAUACCGGAUAGGACCUCGGGAUGCAUGUUCCGGGGUGGAAAGGUUUUCCGGUGCAGGAUGGGCCCGCGGCCUAUCAGCUUGUUGGUGGGGUAACGGCCCACCAAGGCGACGACGGGUAGCCGGCCUGAGAGGGCGACCGGCCACACUGGGACUGAGACACGGCCCAGACUCCUACGGGAGGCAGCAGUGGGGAAUAUUGCACAAUGGGCGCAAGCCUGAUGCAGCGACGCCGCGUGAGGGAUGACGGCCUUCGGGUUGUAAACCUCUUUCAGUACCGACGAAGCGCAAGUGACGGUAGGUACAGAAGAAGCACCGGCCAACUACGUGCCAGCAGCCGCGGUAAUACGUAGGGUGCGAGCGUUGUCCGGAAUUACUGGGCGUAAAGAGCUCGUAGGCGGUUUGUCGCGUCGUCUGUGAAAACCCGCAGCUCAACUGCGGGCUUGCAGGCGAUACGGGCAGACUUGAGUACUGCAGGGGAGACUGGAAUUCCUGGUGUAGCGGUGAAAUGCGCAGAUAUCAGGAGGAACACCGGUGGCGAAGGCGGGUCUCUGGGCAGUAACUGACGCUGAGGAGCGAAAGCGUGGGUAGCGAACAGGA
rnacentral:rRNA from 1 species